rnacentral:tRNA from 7 species
GCGCCCGUAGCUCAGCUGGAUAGAGUACCUGGCUACGAACUAGGGGGUCGGGAGUUCGAAUCUCUCCGGGCGCGCCA